GGUUAAGUGACUAAGCGUACACGGUGGAUGCCUUGGCAGUCAGAGGCGAUGAAAGACGUAGUAACUUGCGAUAAGCCCAGAUUAGGUAGUAACAACCAUUUGAGUCUGGGAUUUCUGAAUGGGGAAACCCACGUGCAUAAGCACGUAUCCUUACCUGAAUACAUAGGGUAAGGAGGCGAACCGGGGGAACUGAAACAUCUAAGUACCCCGAGGAAAAGAAAUCAACCGAGAUUCCGAAAGUAGCGGCGAGCGAAAUUGGACUAGCCCUUAAGCUUUACACGCGUUAGACGAACGGUCUGGAAAGUCCGACGAUACAGGGUGAUAGUCCCGUAGUUGACGACGUGUGUUCAGUGAAAUCGAGUAGGGCGGGACACGUGAUAUCCUGUCUGAAUAUGGGGGGACCAUCCUCCAAGGCUAAAUACUACUGACUGACCGAUAGUGAACCAGUACCGUGAGGGAAAGGCGAAAAGAACCCCUGUGAGGGGAGUGAAAUAGAACCUGAAACCGUGUACGUACAAGCAGUAGGAGCAGGCUUUGUCCUGUGACUGCGUACCUUUUGUAUAAUGGGUCAGCGACUUAUAUUCAGUGGCAAGGUUAACCAUCUAGGGGAGCCGUAGGGAAACCGAGUCUUAACUGGGCGUUCAGUCUCUGGAUAUAGACCCGAAACCAGGUGAUCUAGCCAUGGGCAGGUUGAAGGUUGAGUAACAUCAACUGGAGGACCGAACCGACUAAUGUUGAAAAAUUAGCGGAUGACUUGUGGCUAGGGGUGAAAGGCCAAUCAAACCUGGAGAUAGCUGGUUCUCCCCGAAAGCUAUUUAGGUAGCGCCUCGGACGAAUACUACUGGGGGUAGAGCACUGUUAAGGCUAGGGGGUCAUCCCGACUUACCAACCCUUUGCAAACUCCGAAUACCAGUAAGUACUAUCCGGGAGACACACGGCGGGUGCUAACGUCCGUCGUGGAGAGGGAAACAACCCAGACCGCCAGCUAAGGUCCCAAAUUACUACUAAGUGGGAAACGAUGUGGGAAGGCUCAGACAGCCAGGAUGUUGGCUUAGAAGCAGCCAUCAUUUAAAGAAAGCGUAAUAGCUCACUGGUCGAGUCGGCCUGCGCGGAAGAUGUAACGGGGCUAAGUAGUAAACCGAAGCUGCGGCAAUAUACUUUUGUAUAUUGGGUAGGGGAGCGUUCUGUAAGCGGUUGAAGGUGUGUGGUAACGCAUGCUGGACGUAUCAGAAGUGCGAAUGCUGACAUGAGUAACGAUAAAGGGGGUGAAAAACCUCCUCGCCGGAAGACCAAGGGUUCCUGUCCAACGUUAAUCGGGGCAGGGUAAGUCGACCCCUAAGGCGAGGCCGAAAGGCGUAGUCGAUGGGAAACGGGUUAAUAUUCCCGUACUUCUUACAAUUGCGAUGGGGGGACGGAGAAGGCUAGGUGGGCCUGGCGACGGUUGUCCAGGUUCAAGUGCGUAGGCUUGAGAGUUAGGUAAAUCCGGCUCUUUCUAAGGCUGAGACACGACGUCGAGCACCUACGGGUGUGAAGUCAUUGAUGCCAUGCUUCCAGGAAAAGCCUCUAAGCUUCAGAUUGUAAGGAAUCGUACCCCAAACCGACACAGGUGGUCGGGUAGAGAAUACCAAGGCGCUUGAGAGAACUCGGGUGAAGGAACUAGGCAAAAUGGUACCGUAACUUCGGGAGAAGGUACGCUCUCGACGGUGAAGUCCUUCGCGGAUGGAGCUGACGAGAGUCGCAGAUACCAGGUGGCUGCAACUGUUUAUUAAAAACACAGCACUGUGCAAAAUCGUAAGAUGACGUAUACGGUGUGACGCCUGCCCGGUGCCGGAAGGUUAAUUGAUGGGGUUAGACUUCGGUCGAAGCUCUUGAUCGAAGCCCCGGUAAACGGCGGCCGUAACUAUAACGGUCCUAAGGUAGCGAAAUUCCUUGUCGGGUAAGUUCCGACCUGCACGAAUGGCGUAAUGAUGGCCACGCUGUCUCCACCCGAGACUCAGUGAAAUUGAAAUCGCUGUGAAGAUGCAGUGUACCCGCGGCUAGACGGAAAGACCCCGUGAACCUUUACUACAGCUUGGCACUGAACAUUGACCCUACAUGUGUAGGAUAGGUGGGAGGCUUUGAAGCAGGUACGCCAGUAUCUGUGGAGCCGUCCUUGAAAUACCACCCUUGUAGUGUUGAUGUUCUAACGUCGACCCCUUAUCGGGGUUGCGGACAGUGCCUGGUGGGUAGUUUGACUGGGGCGGUCUCCUCCCAAAGAGUAACGGAGGAGCACGAAGGUGGGCUAAUCACGGUUGGACAUCGUGAGGUUAGUGCAAUGGCAUAAGCCCGCUUGACUGCGAGAAUGACAAUUCGAGCAGGUGCGAAAGCAGGUCAUAGUGAUCCGGUGGUUCUGAAUGGAAGGGCCAUCGCUCAACGGAUAAAAGGUACUCCGGGGAUAACAGGCUGAUACCGCCCAAGAGUUCAUAUCGACGGCGGUGUUUGGCACCUCGAUGUCGGCUCAUCACAUCCUGGGGCUGAAGUCGGUCCCAAGGGUAUGGCUGUUCGCCAUUUAAAGUGGUACGCGAGCUGGGUUUAGAACGUCGUGAGACAGUUCGGUCCCUAUCUGCCGUGGGCGUUGGAAGAUUGAAGGGGGCUGCUCCUAGUACGAGAGGACCGGAGUGGACGAACCUCUGGUGUUCGGGUUGUGUCGCCAGACGCAUUGCCCGGUAGCUAAGUUCGGAAUCGAUAACCGCUGAAAGCAUCUAAGCGGGAAGCGAGCCCUGAGAUGAGUCUUCCCUGAUACUUUAAGUAUCCUAAAGGGUUGUCGGAGACUACGACGUUGAUAGGUCAGGUGUGUAAGUGCUGUGAGGCAUUGAGCUAACUGAUACUAAUUGCCCGUGAGGCUUAACCAU
rnacentral:rRNA from 1 species